CCCAUUUUAUGUACUUAAACCCUAGCCCUUUAAACUUGCAGCCCUAUUAUGAUUUAUUCACUUCCAUAUCCUUCUUUAAUCCACAUGCAUUCAUCAUAAUUCACAACACAAAACAGCCAUACAAACCAACCCAUUGUCGUGCCUUCCCUUGCCAUUUUUAGCCAUCACACUUCAUCAUUGCAGCCACCAUUCACCCUAGUUGUCAAUCACAUACUUUCCCAUUGUAUAAUUCAUCCACAUGCAGCUUUAAUCAUUCACUCACAAGUUUUCCCAACAAACAAAUCAGCCACAUGCACACCAAACCACCCAUGCCGUGCAUCCCUUAGCAAUUCCAGCAUUCCACCAAUUUUUCCUAGCUGUUUUUCACAUGCAUCCCCUCACUCUUUAAUCAUUUCCAACCUAGCAACCCCUUUAAUCAUUCAUCCUAGCUGCCAUUAACAUGCUCUCCCAUCCAUUCUCUCCCUAUAAAACCAUGCAAUGCAUUCAUACAAGGAGGGGGAUUUCACGACAAACAAUCACACAACACACCAUCACAAAAUCCCAUUCUUUGCCGUGCAUAUCCCUUCCAUUUUCUGCAUAUUUUCUCUUCAUUGCAAUCAUUCCCCACUCCAUUCCACAUACACCUAAAGCCCUAAACAUUUCCUUAGACCUUGUGCUACAACAAAGAGGAAUAGAAGAGGGCCUAAACGUUCAUACAAUUCAAGUUUGAGUUGUUGGAAUGUUUAGGUGUUUCUUUGAUUUCAAUGUUUAAAUUCAAUUCUCUUUGUCUUGUAAGUAUGAGGAACUAAACCCCCCUUUAGCUAGGGGGUGAUUCGAAACUAUGUUUAUGCUUGCAAUAUGAAUUGAUUACCUUUGGUUGGAAUUUCAUAAGUUGUGGAUUCAAUUUGUUUAACCGUUUGAUUGAUAACUUAUUUAUGUAUGUUUAUUGAGAGUGCACGCUUAAUUUUCAUGCAUAAAUAUGACGCUAGAAUAUAAGUGAGUUUCACCUAAUCGUUAUGAACUUAUAUUCACAAGUAGUGGAGGUUGCUUAUAAACAAUCGCGUUAAAUGAAUUCUUGGCACUAGUUUCAUGCUUUUCAUAGUAAUGAAUGCCUCGUCAACACUUAUAGUUUUCAUGAUGCUUAAUGAUCUUUGAUUGUAUCUUUAUUGUGCUUUUCACGUAAAGGACUUUUGGAGAAUGUUGUGAAUUGCGUUGCGCAAACCCAUCCAAUUCAUUAACUUAAGGAGAACUUGACGGUUAAUUUAAGCGGACCUAAUUAACCUAGGGUGUUGAGUUUCAUAAUUUAUCGAAAGACCAACUGAGAAUCGAUCUUGUAUUGCAAGUGUGACAUGUGUGGAGAAGAACCCCUUAAGCUAUUCCAUCAUCCAUAUUUUUCAUCGCAUUCAUAUUUACAUUUUGCCCUUAAUUAUAAUCUGUCCAUUUAAUUUAAUCUCGUCAAAAACAACUCAAUUCCCCCCCCCCC
rnacentral:lncRNA from 1 species